rnacentral:lncRNA from 1 species
GGCCCCGCCUCCGGCUCUCCGGCCGGCAGGUUGGCUGUCCUGGCCUGACCCUGGGAGACUCCGCUGGGGCCGCCUGUUAUGGUGCUAGCUGCCGUCCCGGUGCGUACUUUCCCAAGGUGAAUUUGACCUUCUUUGCGACAGCUAGGCCCUGACUAAGGUCGACCCACCAAACACUGGAUCGUCCCCAGGCGAAAGAGAGCUUGUUCCCCUCAGCCUGUCGCGGAGGAGCGGAGCCAAUCGAGGGUCUGGUGUCCCCGUCGCCUCUCCAGGGGCAACCUGCGGACUAGGCCAAGGUCUGUAACAGGAUAACGUACCAGCGCCUGGCCCAGGCGUUCCUGCCGCCACCUCCCCGCAUAUCCGGACCGCCGGGACUGCACGCAGCUGGCAAGCGUCCCCCUGUUAACUCUGCAAGGGUGGGGCGGCACCAUUUCUCAGACCAGGGCAGACCAGAACAGUGGGUGAUUUUCCUCCUGCC